UACGGGGGGGGGCAAGCGUUGUUCGGAAUUACUGGGCGUAAAGGGCUCGUAGGCGGCCAACUAAGUCGGAUGUGAAAUCCCCCAGGCUCAACCUGGGAACUGCAUCCGAUACUGGAUGGCUUGAAUUCGGGAGAGGGAUGCAGAAUUCCAGGUGUAGCGGUGAAAUGCGUAGAUAUCUGGAGGAAUACCGGUGGCGAAGGCGGCAUCCUGGACCGACAUUGACGCUGAGGAGCGAAAGCCAGGGGGAGCAAAACGGGG
rnacentral:rRNA from 1 species